CCUUCUAGCUCUGCAGUUCUGAGAUUAUUAUCAUUAAGAUGAUUAUUUACAAAGUCUAAAGAAACCUUUUAUAUCUCCUUCCAGUUUCGGAGCACAGUUGGGAGCGGCGAUACCCCAUCCGUCCAAGCCAAAAAAAAAAUAAACACCUCUGGCUGGCGAAGAUCUGUGGCUGAAGGAACCAUAAAAAGCAGCUACCAGGAUUUCUGCUCACGUGCUCCUGUGCUGAAGUAAGAUAGCAAUACAAAAAAAACCUCACAAGACGCAUGGGAACUGCAACAAAAUGUUGCAGCGUGACUCGGUUUGUGUUCAGUGUUCAAGCCCACCCCACUAGCUAUGCCUUUCUCGGCAGA
rnacentral:lncRNA from 1 species